CACCCUGCCUGUGGGGCGAUGCCACUGCUGUCGCCAGCCUCUCCAGUCUCUCUGGCUCCACGGUUCUGUACGCUUCGCUCUCCUUGACUGCUCUGGUUUGGCGUUGCCCGCGCGUUCAUGGCUCCUUAAGUUUGCCAUGUGCUGUGACCCGCUCCCGACCUCCAGCCAUGAUACAAACUACCGGAUUGUUAGUAAUCCCUAAUUACCCAGAAUACCCCUCAUCACUCAGUCCACCGCUUCUGAUGUCCGCCUAAUCAAUUUGGACAACCCCAAGAUAUUCCCUGGGAUACGCAGGGUACAGCAAAUUAGGAAGCAGGACUGGUGCCCCAUUUAAAACUCCAAGGGGAGGAGUGGAGGGAAAUAUUGUUGCAUGGUGAUGCCACUGGACAAGUCCCCACCCACCCCCCAAAAGGUGUGCUGGAGUCAGAGCAGAUCCCCACCAGCUGCAACCUGUUCCAUAAUCAAGACCUCUACAAAUACUCAUUCCUGCCACUUCCACUCUGCCAGAUCGUAAUCUCUGCUCAUUCUGCCUGCUCUGACUCUGGUUCCUGUCUCCAGUCUGACUUCUCGUCAGUCCUGCUACUCUGUCCUGGAUUCCCAACUCUACGCUCCCUUGGAUUCCCCUCCGGACCUGCUUACCCUGUCCCACCACCUCUCGUUCCAGCCUCAGCCUCUGCACCUGGUUUCCGGCAACCCGCCCGAGCUUCCCCUGACCUGCACCCAAUCUUCCCCCC
rnacentral:lncRNA from 1 species